rnacentral:rRNA from 1 species
CCUACGGGAGGCAGCAGUGGGGAAUUUUGGACAAUGGGCGAAAGCCUGAUCCAGCAAUGCCGCGUGAGUGAAGAAGGCCUUCGGGUUGUAAAGCUCUUUUGUCAGGGAAGAAACGGUGAGAGCUAAUAUCUUUUGCUAAUGACGGUACCUGAAGAAUAAGCACCGGCUAACUACGUGCCAGCAGCCGCGGUAAUACGUAGGGUGCAAGCGUUAAUCGGAAUUACUGGGCGUAAAGCGUGCGCAGGCGGUUUUGUAAGUCUGAUGUGAAAUCCCCGGGCUCAACCUGGGAAUUGCAUUGGAGACUGCAAGGCUAGAAUCUGGCAGAGGGGGGUAGAAUUCCACGUGUAGCAGUGAAAUGCGUAGAUAUGUGGAGGAACACCGAUGGCGAAGGCAGCCCCCUGGGUCAAGAUUGACGCUCAUGCACGAAAGCGUGGGGAGCAAACAGGAUUAGAUACCCUGGUAGUCCACGCCCUAAACGAUGUCUACUAGUUGUCGGGUCUUAAUUGACUUGGUAACGCAGCUAACGCGUGAAGUAGACCGCCUGGGGAGUACGGUCGCAAGNUUAAAACCNGAAGAUGAGNGNGAGAGAGCGAGAGACGAGAGGAGAGG